rnacentral:rRNA from 1 species
AGAUCUACAUGUCUAGUAUAAGCAUUAUACGGCGAAACUGCGAAUGGCUCAUUAUAUAAGUUAUCGUUUAUUUGAUAGCACCUUACUACUUGGAUAACCGUGGUAAUUCUAGAGCUAAUACAUGCUAAAAAUCCCGACUUCGGAAGGGAUGUAUUUAUUAGAUACAAAACCAAUGCCCUUCGGGGCUCUCUGGUGAUUCAUGAUAACUUCGCGAAUCGCACGGCCUUGUGCCGGCGAUGGUUCAUUCAAAUUUCUUCCCUAUCAACUUUCGAUGUUUGGAUAUGGGCCAAACAUGGUUGCAACGGGUAACGGAGGGUUAGGGCUCGACCCCGGAGAAGGAGCCUGAGAAACGGCUACUACAUCCAAGGAAGGCAGCAGGCGCGCAAAUUACCCAAUCCCGACUCGGGGAGGUAGUGACAAUAAAUACUGAUACAGGGCUCUAUUGGGUCUUGUAAUUGGAAUGAGUACAAUUUAAAUCCCUUAACGAGGAACAAUUGGAGGGCAAGUCUGGUGCCAGCAGCCGCGGUAAUUCCAGCUCCAAUAGCGUAUAUUAAAGUUGUUGUGGUUAAAAAGCUCGUAGUUGAACCUUGGGCCUGGCUGGCCGGUCCGCCUCACCGCGUGCACUGGUCCGGCCGGGCCUUUCCCUCUGUGGAACCCCAUGCCCUUCACUGGGUGUGGCGGGGAAACAGGACUUUUACUUUGAAAAAAUUAGAGUGCUCCAGGCAGGCCUAUGCUCGAAUACAUUAGCAUGGAAUAAUAAAAUAGGACGUGCGGUUCUAUUUUGUUGGUUUCUAGGACCGCCGUAAUGAUUAAUAGGGACAGUCGGGGGCAUCAGUAUUCAGUUGUCAGAGGUGAAAUUCUUAGAUCUACUGAAGACUAACUACUGCGAAAGCAUUUGCCAAGGAUGUUUUCAUUAAUCAGGAA